GACAAACGCUGGCGGCGUGCUUAACACAUGCAAGUCGAACGGUGAACCCGGAGCUUGCUCCGGUGGAUUAGUGGCGAACGGGUGAGUAACACGUGAGUAACCUGCCCUUGACUCUGGGAUAACUGCGGGAAACUGUAGCUAAUACCGGAUACGACCCUCGGCGGCAUCGCCAGGGGGUGGAAAGAAUUUCGGUCAAGGAUGGACUCGCGGCCUAUCAGCUAGUUGGUGAGGUAACGGCUCACCAAGGCGACGACGGGUAGCCGGCCUGAGAGGGUGACCGGCCACACUGGGACUGAGACACGGCCCAGACUCCUACGGGAGGCAGCAGUGGGGAAUAUUGCACAAUGGGCGCAAGCCUGAUGCAGCAACGCCGCGUGAGGGAUGACGGCCUUCGGGUUGUAAACCUCUUUUAGUAGGGAAGAAGCGAAAGUGACGGUACCUGCAGAAAAAGCACCGGCUAACUACGUGCCAGCAGCCGCGGUAA
rnacentral:rRNA from 1 species